GAAAAAUUCUACUUUUGAAUUUGUAAGGUGGACGAAGGGUUCCAAAUACGUGCACUUUGGACGACAUAUCAGGACUUCAGCAUGUGAUUUCUUCCCAUUUGUUCCCGCUUCUGCUGCUGAGUGAUCUUAGAGUUAAAUCAUCAAGUUUUAAAAUGUCCUCUAUGUUUUCUCCUGUUAACCUAUCUGGAAGUUUACCCAGAAUUACACCAAGAUAACCCUCAGUACGACCCGAAAUUGCCCGGAUACGAGAAAAAAUCCCGACAGAAUGCUGUGCUAUGCAACUUUUUGAAAUGCGCGCAGUUUAGGCACACAAACCAUGUUGAUAGUGCCGUGUUCUACUAAAUUAAAAAUGAAUUAAAUGUUAAUUGAUUAAAACAUUAAAGUAGAAAAUAGGA